AUGGAUUAUUCCUAUUUCCUACUAGUAAUUUUAUCUUUACUCAAUUGCGAGUGAAAUUCCAACGAUUAUAUGAGGGAGAAAUCCCCUUUGAAGCCAUAUAUGGGGUCACCUGGGACUUUCUAGCCAGGUAGAACUGUGUUAAGUUCAAAUUACAUCAGGGUAACAUCAGAUUUGCAGAAUAAAAGUGGUUCUAUUUAGAAUACAGUGCCUUGCAAACCGAAGAACUGAAACUUCAAAUCCAGUUUAUGUUUCAUAGACAUGGCAAGGAAUGGUUUGGAGAUAAAUUGGCGUGUUGGUGUGCAUGUCAUUAAAUGAUUGAAGGUCCUGUCUUUGGAUUCAAGAAUUACUUCUAUGAACUUACUAUCGUUUGGAUACAAACAGCAAUCACAAUGGCCUUAUCAUGCACAUCCUUAUAUCUCUCCAGUGGUUAAGAAUGGAGCUCUAUUGAGACUACGAUAGAGACAGGACACACACUCAGCUGGUUGUAAAGCACGGUUUAGAAAUGUAGAACAUGAAACAUUUUUAGCAAUUCGCUACGAAAAUUAUAAACUUUCAGACAUUGAUAAUAAAGCUGGCUAGAAGCCAUGCUUUUCAGCAGAAGUUGUGCGAUUUCUGACAAAAUGGCAGAAGACAUGGGACCUCACUGGUGUGAUUCACAGCUUGGCGCAACAUGUUUGUCCCAAAAAAGAUAACUAAUGAAAGAUAACAAAUUCAAAUUCCUUGUCUCUUCAAGACAAAAAGUUGUACAUAUCUUUGUUGGAAAUAAAAAUGCAAUGUAAA
rnacentral:lncRNA from 1 species